AUUGAACGCUGGCGGCAGGCUUAACACAUGCAAGUCGAACGGAGUGGCGGACGGGUGAGUAACGCGUAAUCAACCUGCCCUUCAGAGGGGGACAACAGUUGGAAACGACUGCUAAUACCGCAUACUGAAGGAGGGGAUUGCGUCUGAUUAGCUAGUUGGAGGGGUAACGGCCCACCAAGGCGAUGAUCAGUAGCCGGUCUGAGAGGAUGAACGGCCACAUUGGGAAUGAGACACGGCCCAGACUCCUACGGGAGGCAGCAGUGGGGAAUCUUCCGCAAUGGACGCAAGCCUGAUGCAGCCAUGCCGCGUGUGUGAAGAAGGCCUUCGGGUUGUAAAGCACUUUCAGCGGGGAGCGAUACCCGCAGAAGAAGCACCGGCUAACUCCGUGCCAGCAGCCGCGGUAAUAC
rnacentral:rRNA from 1 species